rnacentral:lncRNA from 10 species
AAAAUUUACUUUCCAAAAUUAACAGGAUCAAUUUUCGUAGAAGCUCUAUUUAUAAGCACAAGAAAUUGGAAACAAGCCAAAUGUCUUUCAGCUGAUGAAUGGACAAACCAAUUGUGGCAUAUCCAUACAAUGGAGUACAAUGCAGCAUCAAAAAGAAACACACCGUAGACACCUGCAACAACUUGGAUUAAUCUCAGAGGGAUUAUGGUGCUGGCCAUGCAGGGACUUGGUCUCUGAAUGAGAUGAAGAGCCAUUAGCCUAUGAGCAGAGGAGCAGCAUAACAGGACUUCCGUUUUCAAGACACCUCUUUGGCUGUGAUGUUAGGAAUGAGGUAGAAACAGGGAGACCAGUUAGAAGGUUGUCACCAUAAUCAAGGUACCAGCAUGGGAGGGGUGAAAAGCAAUCAGCCUCCGGAUAUACUUUA